rnacentral:rRNA from 1 species
CAGUAGCCACGGUAAUACGAAAGGUCCAAGCGUUACUCGGAAUUACUGGGCGUAAAGCGCGCGUAGGCGGUCUUGUAUGUCGAUUAUGAAAGCCCCGGGCUCAACCUGGGAACUGCAGUCGAAACUGCAAGACUUGAAUGUUGGAGAGGUUGGGGGAAUACCUAGUGGAGAAGUGAAAUUCGUAGAGAUUAGGUGGAACACCAGAGGCGAAGGCGCCUGACUGGCCAAACAUUGACGCUAAGGCGCGAAAGCGUGGGUAGCAAACAGGAUUAGAUACCCGCGUAGUCCCUGUCUCUUAUAC